rfam:Brachypodium distachyon strain Bd21 chromosome 5, whole genome shotgun sequence.
CAUCUACUCCCUCCGUAGCAUGUUAAGUCACUCAAAUUUGUCCAAAUAUGAAUGUAUCUAUAUUUAAAAAACGUCUAGAUACAUGUACUUAAUAGACAGUCACUUAACAUGGGACGGAGGGAGUAUAUU